UGGGGGAAAAAAAUGGGCGAGGCGGCCUUCUGGCAUCAUACUGACACUGAGGCGCGAAAGCGUGGGGAGCAAAUGGGAUUAGAUACCCCGGUAGUCCACGCCGUAAACGAUGUCUACUAGACGCUGGGACCCUCGGUUCUGUUUUGCAAAGCUAUAACAUUAAAGUUGACCGCUGGGGAGUACGGCCCGCAGGGUAAAACUCAAAUGAAUUGACCGGGGCCCCCACAAACGGUGGAGCAUGUGGUUUAAUUCCAUGCCACCCCAAAAAACUUACCUACCCCUGACCUUCCAAAAACUUUUCCAAAAUGGUUUGGUGCCUUCCGGAACUCUGAUACAGGUGCUGCAUGGCUGUCCUCAGCUCGUGGUGUGAAAUGGUGGGUUAAAUCCCCCAACGAGCGCCACCCCUAUCCUUUAUUGCUAACAGGGAAUGGUGAGAACUCUAAAGAAACUGGCGGUGAACAACCCGAAGAAAGGGGGGAACAACUCCAGUCAUCAUGGGCCUUACCUGUAAGGCUACACAACUGCUACAAUGGCGCAUACAGAGUGGUGCCAAUAUGGCAAAGUGAACCCAUCACUUAAAGUGCUGCCUAUCCGGAAUGGAAUCCGGCACUCGACUCCCUGAAGUUCGGAUUCGUAGUAAUCGCGGAAUCAAAUGACCCCGGUGAAAACCGUCCCCGGCCUUGGACACACCCGCCGUCCCACCAUGGGAAGUGGGAUGCUCCAAAAGUAGAUAAUCCAACCCUUCGGGAAGACCUUAUACCACCGAGGGAUUCCAGGAUGGGGGUUGAGUCGUAACA
rnacentral:rRNA from 1 species